AGAGAAGAUUAGCAUGGCCCCUGUGCAAGGAUGACACGCAAAUUCAUGAAGCGUUCCAUAUUUAA
rnacentral:snRNA from 1 species